GACGAACGCUGGCGGCGUGCUUAACACAUGCAAGUCGAACGGUAAGGCCUUCGGGUACACGAGUGGCGAACGGGUGAGUAACACGUGGGUGAUCUGCCCCCUACUCUGGGAUAAGCCUGGGAAACUGGGUCUAAUACCGGAUAUGACCUCCUUCUGCAUGGUUGGUGGUGGAAAGUUUUUUCGGUAGGGGAUGAGCCCGCGGCCUAUCAGCUUGUUGGUGGGGUAAUGGCCUACCAAGGCGACGACGGGUAGCCGGCCUGAGAGGGCGACCGGCCACACUGGGACUGAGACACGGCCCAGACUCCUACGGGAGGCAGCAGUGGGGAAUAUUGCACAAUGGGCGAAAGCCUGAUGCAGCGACGCCGCGUGGGGGAUGACGGCCUUCGGGUUGUAAACCCCUUUCAGUCGGGACGAAGCAAGAGUGACGGUACCGAUAGAAGAAGCACCGGCCAACUACGUGCCAGCAGCCGCGGUAAGAC
rnacentral:rRNA from 1 species